rnacentral:rRNA from 1 species
UAAGACGUAGGGGGCCAGCGUUGUUCGGAAUUACUGGGUGUAAAGGGUUCGUAGGCGGUGUGGCAAGUUGGGAGUGAAAUCUCUGGGCUCAACCCAGAGGCUGCUUCCAAAACUGCUGUGCUUGAGUGUGAGAGAGGCGCGUGGAAUUGCAGGUGUAGCGGUGAAAUGCGUAGAUAUCUGCAGGAACACCCGUGGCGAAAGCGGCGCGCUGGAUCACUACUGACGCUGAGGAACGAAAGCUAGGGGAGCAAACAGGAUUAGAUACCCUGGUAGUCCUAGCCCUAAACGAUCAGGACUUGGGGUGCCACCCGUUCGGGUGUCGUCCCGGAGCUAACGCGUUAAGUCCUGCACCUGGGGAGUACGGUCGCAAGACUGAAACUCAAAGAAAUUGACGGGGGCCCGCACAAGCGGUGGAGUAUGUGGCUCAAUUCGAUGCAACGCGAAGAACCUUACCAGGCCUUGACAUGCAUCUCUAAGUUGGUGAAAGCCAGCGAGUCCCGAAAGGGACAAUUUGCACAGGUGCUGCAUGGCUGUCGUCAGCUCGUGCCGUGAGGUGUUUGGUUAAGUCCAGCAACGAGCGCAACCCCUGGGUUUAGUUACCAGCACGUAAAGGUGGGAACUCUAGACCAACUGCCUACGCAAGUAGUGAGGAAGGUGGGGACGACGUCAAGUCAUCAUGGCCCCUUACGCCUAGGGCAACACACGUGCUACAAUGGCGACUACAGCGCGCUGCAAUACCGCGAGGUGGAGCGAAUCGCUAAAAAGUCGUCUCAGUUCGAAUCGGAGUCUGCAACUCGACUCCGUGAAGUUGGAAUUGCUAGUAAUCGGGGGUCAGCACACCCCGGUAAUCACUAGUGAAUUC